AGGAUUAACGCUGGCGGCGUGCAUGAAACAUGCAAGUCGAGCGCGGCGCGUGGCUUCGGUCACGCGUCUAGCGGCGCACGGGUGAGUAACACGUGAGCAACCUACCUUCGAGUUCGGGAUAGCCCUGGGAAACCAGGAUUAAUACCGGAUGUGGUCACAACGGGACAUCCCGAUGUGAAAAAAGGCGCAAGCCGCUCGAUGACGGGCUCGCGGCCUAUUAGCUUGUUGGUGGGGUAACGGCCUACCAAGGCGACGAUGGGUAGCUGGUCUGAGAGGACGAUCAGCCACACUGGGACUGAGACACGGCCCAGACUCCUACGGGAGGCAGCAGUUAGGAAUUUUCCGCAAUGGGCGAAAGCCUGACGGAGCAACGCCGCGUGUGUGAUGAAGGCCUUCGGGUUGUAAAGCACUGUCGGAGGGGAGAAUGAACGACGGUACCCUCCAAGAAGCCCGGCUAACUACGUGCCAGCAGCCGC
rnacentral:rRNA from 1 species